UACGGAGGGAGCUAGCGUUGUUCGGAAUUACUGGGCGUAAAGCGCGCGUAGGCGGCUUUGUAAGUUAGAGGUGAAAGCCCGGGGCUCAACCCCGGAACUGCCUUUAAAACUGCAUCGCUUGAAUCCGGGAGAGGUGAGUGGAAUUCCGAGUGUAGAGGUGAAAUUCGUAGAUAUUCGGAAGAACACCAGUGGCGAAGGCGGCUCACUGGACCGGCAUUGACGCUGAGGAGCGAAAGCGUGGGGAGCGAACAGG
rnacentral:rRNA from 1 species